rnacentral:lncRNA from 1 species
UAGCGUAACUUUACAAUGGUAAAUCAAACAAAGUUUUCCUUGGUCCUGUCACUUUUAAUCUGGACCUAUUUUCACAAGAUUAAAUCCUAUCCCAGGCUGUUUGUUGUCUUUGCAAGUGAAUAAAAUUUUAAUUGCUUACUAUCAUAAAUACAAAAAGCUAUUUAAAAUUCAAAUGGGUUCUCAAUCUUAUAAUAGUAGUUCUCUAAAUAUUUCUCCUAAAAACUCCUAAAAAGUUAUUGGGAACUCCUAAAAAGUUAUUGGGGAGAAAAAAAAAAGAAAACAAUCUCUAAAACUAUACCUAAUAUUUGACUUCAACACGCCGCCACCAACUCCCAGUAGGCAUCAAUAAUAGGUUGCUGGCCAUCAAGUAGCAGCAGCAGGUAGCCAUCGAUGGGCGUCCUCCUCCACACGAGAUGACGGCCAGCGACCAAAUAAUGGCAGGUACUUGUUUUUUAAAGGCACGGGCAUAAAUAAUACUAGUACAUACCAAACAAAAAUGAACAUACUCAUAGUGAAAAUGAAGCAAGCAUGACAAGCACCACGGUAAACACAACAAGCCAUACGUACCACUAAAUCUUUGAUAGAGAAAGACCAUCAAACACGCCACAUAUAUAUAUAGAAGAAGCAAAGAGAGUGGCGUGGGACACAUGCA